rnacentral:tRNA from 1 species
GCUCCCGUAGUCUAGUCUGGAUAGGACAUAACCCUGCGGAGGUUAUAGCCCGGGUUCGAAACCCUAUUGCUGAG